GACGAACGCUGGCGGCGUGCCUAAUACAUGCAAGUAGGACGCAGUUGCGAACGGGUGAGUAACGCGUAGGUAACUACCUAUUAGAGGGGGAUAACUAGUUGAAACGAUAGCCAAUACCGUCUACUAGUAGAAGGACUUGUGUUGUAUUAGCUAGUAGGUAGGGUAAUGGCCUACCAAGGCAACGGUACAUAGCCGACCUGAUAGGGGGGUCGGCCACACUGGGACUGAGACACGGCCCAGACUCCUACGGGAGGCAGCAGUAGGGAAUCUGCGGCAAUGGGGGGAACCCUGACCGAGCAACGCCGCGUGAGUGAAGAAGGUUUUCGGAUCGUAAAGCUCUGUUGUUAAGGAAGCGGUACUUAACCAGAAAGGGACGGCUAACUACGUGCCAGCAGCCGCGGUAAUAC
rnacentral:rRNA from 1 species